rnacentral:misc_RNA from 1 species
CUGAGUACUACACUCUUCUACCCUUUGUGAACUAUUAUACCUGUUGCUUCGGCGGCGCCCGCGAGGGUGCCCGCCGGUCUCAUCAGAAUCUCUGUUUUCGAACCCGACGAUACUUCUGAGUGUUCUUAGCGAACUGUCAA